AGGAACACAGCACAUGCGCAUGGGAGAUCACGCGAGUGGAGGUUCGCGACAACCUGGUGCAGUUCAAGAAAUUCCUCGACAUCAGAGUCAAGCCAUGAGGAAGAAGAGGGUUGACCAUUUCUAGUUCUGUUUCCGUAAAGAAAAGUCGAGAGCAUGUUUCCAGAGCAUGUUUACAAGAACACACAGAGCGAGGACGUCUCUGUGGUUGCAUUAGAGUCUUUGGAAUAUAUGACCCAAUUAUUUAACAGCCUGACUCCUUUCACAUGGAACAAAGAAACACUGAACCUGUUCAAAAACAGAUGACCUAGUUAAGUUAAGAAAUUGGAGGGAUGCGUCGGGUGUGGUGUUGGGGCAUCCUCUGGAGAUGGAGGGUCAGUGACUUCAGGCAAAGGGUCUCUGAAAACGUAUUUCAACAAGCUGAACACAAUCUUGAAACAGAAGGUUUACAAUAUCAAAUGCACUCGAAAAUAGGCUAAAUUAAUCGGAGGAAAAGUUCUAGAUCACCACAAAUCGGAGGAAUUUCGCUGAAACUUGGAACUUCCAAGCGCCGUUUUUGUGUGUCGUCGGAUGCGUUGGCGCAGCACCUGUUGUGGUUGAGUUGACUGAAAAAAAUGCAUGUCUUGUAUGCGCUCCAGGAACACAGCGUAUGAGCAGGUGAGAUCGUGGGAGAGGAGCUUCGCUACAAACUGGUGCAGUUUUAAAAAAUUCCUUGACCCCAUGGUCAAGCUGUGAUGAAGUCAACUGCAGAGUCAAGCGGUGAGGAAGAAGCGAUCUGAUGGACAACCUCAUAAUCAUCAUUGGAGAUUGGAUGUCCUUGAGGCUGGCUAAUAGAUAGAUGGAUGAUAUUUUUACUGACUGACUGUUUUAUUUAUUUGUGAAGGAUUUGUAAUAUUUUUUAUAACACUA